CCGAAUCCAGUACAACGCGCCA
rnacentral:tRNA from 1 species